rnacentral:rRNA from 1 species
UACGUAGGGUGCAAGCGUUAUCCGGAAUUAUUGGGCGUAAAGAGCUCGUAGGCGGUUUGUCGCGUCUGCUGUGAAAACUGGGGGCUCAACCCCCAGCCUGCAGUGGGUACGGGCAGACUAGAGUGCGGUAGGGGAGAUUGGAAUUCCUGGUGUAGCGGUGGAAUGUGCAGAUAUCAGGAGGAACACCGAUGGCGAAGGCAGAUCUCUGGGCCGUAACUGACGCUGAGGAGCGAAAGCAUGGGGAGCGAACAGG